ACCUGCAAGUCGAGCGGUAGAGAGAAGCUUGCUUCUCUUGAGAGCGGCGGACGGGUGAGUAAUGCCUAGGAAUCUGCCUGGUAGUGGGGGAUAACGCUCGGAAACGGACGCUAAUACCGCAUACGUCCUACGGGAGAAAGCAGGGGACCUUCGGGCCUUGCGCUAUCAGAUGAGCCUAGGUCGGAUUAGCUAGUUGGUGAGGUAAUGGCUCACCAAGGCGACGAUCCGUAACUGGUCUGAGAGGAUGAUCAGUCACACUGGAACUGAGACACGGUCCAGACUCCUACGGGAGGCAGCAGUGGGGAAUAUUGGACAAUGGGCGAAAGCCUGAUCCAGCCAUGCCGCGUGUGUGAAGAAGGUCUUCGGAUUGUAAAGCACUUUAAGUUGGGAGGAAGGGCAGUAACCUAAUACGUUAUUGUUUUGACGUUACCGACAGAAUAAGCACCGGCUAACUCUGUGCCAGCAGCCGCGGUAAUACAGAGGGUGCAAGCGUUAAUCGGAAUUACUGGGCGUAAAGCGCGCGUAGGUGGUUUGUUAAGUUGAAUGUGAAAUCCCCGGGCUCAACCUGGGAACUGCAUCCAAAACUGGCAAGCUAGAGUAGGGCAGAGGGUGGUGGAAUUUCCUGUGUAGCGGUGAAAUGCGUAGAUAUAGGAAGGAACACCAGUGGCGAAGGCGACCACCUGGGCUCAUACUGACACUGAGGUGCGAAAGCGUGGGGAGCAAACAGGAUUAGAUACCCUGGUAGUCCACGCCGUAAACGAUGUCAACUAGCCGUUGGAAUCCUUGAGAUUUUAGUGGCGCAGCUAACGCAUUAAGUUGACCGCCUGGGGAGUACGGCCGCAAGGUUAAAACUCAAAUGAAUUGACGGGGGCCCGCACAAGCGGUGGAGCAUGUGGUUUAAUUCGAACAACGCGAAGAACCUUACC
rnacentral:rRNA from 1 species